rnacentral:rRNA from 1 species
CCUACGGGAGGCAGCAGUGGGGAAUAUUGGGCAAUGGAGGCAACUCUGACCCAGCAACGCCGCGUGAAUGAUGAAGGUCUUCGGAUUGUAACGUUCUUUUCUAAGGGACGAAGAAAGUGACGGUACCUUAGGAAUAAGCCUCGGCUAACUACGUGCCAGCAGCCGCGGUAAUACGUAGGAGGCAAGCGUUAUCCGGACUGACUGGUCGUAAAGGGUGCGUAGGUGGUUUGACAAGUUAGUAGCGCAACUCCGGGGCUCAACUUCGGAACUACUACUAAAACUGUUGGACUUGAGUGCAGGAGGGGCAAUCGGAAUUCAUAGUGUAGCGGUGGAAUGCGUAGAUAUUAGGAGGAACACCAGUGGCGAAGGCGGAUUGCUAGACUGUAACUGACACUGAGGCACGAAAGCGUGGGGAGCAAACAGGAUUAGAUACCCUUGUAGUC